rnacentral:rRNA from 1 species
GACGAACGCUGGCGGCGUGCUUAACACAUGCAAGUCGAACGGUGAAGGAAGAGCUUGCUCUUCCGGAUCAGUGGCGAACGGGUGAGUAACACGUGGGCAACCUGCCCUGACUCUGGGAUAACUCCUCGAAAGAGGUGCUAAUACCGGAUACGACCACUUCGGACAUCCGAUGGUGGUGGAAAGUUUUUCGGUCAGGGAUGGGCCCGCGGCCUAUCAGCUAGUUGGUGGGGUAAUGGCCUACCAAGGCGACGACGGGUAGCCGGCCUGAGAGGGCGACCGGCCACACUGGGACUGAGACACGGCCCAGACUCCUACGGGAGGCAGCAGUGGGGAAUAUUGCGCAAUGGGCGAAAGCCUGACGCAGCGACGCCGCGUGAGGGAUGAAGGCCUUCGGGUUGUAACCGUCUUUCAGCAGGGACGAAGCGAAAGUGACGGUACCUGCAGAGAAGCA